rnacentral:sRNA from 1 species
UUACAGUUGCGUUAGGGAUAAAAACGGCAUCCUUUUUUGCUAUCGCCAUAAAGCAAAUGGCAAAAAAAGAUAUAGUGGAUAGCCCGACCCCAC